rnacentral:rRNA from 1 species
UACGAAGGGGGCAAGCGUUGUUCGGAUUUACUGGGCGUAAAGGGAGCGUAGGUGGUUAGGUAAGCCCUCCGGGAAAUCUUCAGGCUUAACCUGAAAAGGUCGGGGGGGACUGCCUGGCUAGAGGGCGGGAGAGGAGCGCGGAAUUCCCGGUGUAGCGGUGAAAUGCGUAGAGAUCGGGAGGAAGGCCGGUGGCGAAGGCGGCGCUCUGGAACGUUACUGACACUGAGGCGCGAAAGCGUGGGGAGCAAACAGG